rnacentral:rRNA from 1 species
GAUGAACGCUGGCGGCGUGCCUAAUACAUGCAAGUCGAGCGAACAGAUAAGGAGCUUGCUCCUUUGACGUUAGCGGCGGACGGGUGAGUAACACGUGGAUAACCUACCUAUAAGACUGGGAUAACUUCGGGAAACCGGAGCUAAUACCGGAUAACAUAUUGAACCGCAUGGUUCAAUAGUGAAAGGCGGCUUUGCUGUCACUUAUAGAUGGAUCCGCGCCGUAUUAGCUAGUUGGUAAGGUAACGGCUUACCAAGGCAACGAUACGUAGCCGACCUGAGAGGGUGAUCGGCCACACUGGAACUGAGACACGGUCCAGACUCCUACGGGAGGCAGCAGUAGGGAAUCUUCCGCAAUGGGCGAAAGCCUGACGGAGCAACGCCGCGUGAGUGAUGAAGGUCUUCGGAUCGUAAAACUCUGUUAUCAGGGAAGAACAAAUGUGUAAGUAACUGUGCACAUCUUGACGGUACCUGAUCAGAAAGCCACGGCUAACUACG